UGCCAGCAGCCGCGGUAAUACGGGAGUGGCAAGCGUUGUUCGGAAUUACUGGGCGUAAAGCGUACGUAGGCGGAUUAAUAAGUUAGAGGUGAAAUCCCAGGGCUCAACCCUGGAACUGCCUUUAAAACUGUUAGUCUUGAGAUCGAGAGAGGUGAGUGGUAUUCCAAGUGUAGAGGUGAAAUUCGUAGAUAUUUGGAGGAACACCAGUGGCGAAGGCAGUUCACUGGACCGUGAUCGACGCUGAGGAACGAAAGCUAGGGGAGCAAACAGGAUUAGAUA
rnacentral:rRNA from 1 species